AGCAACAAGGAAAUCCUCCUACAUCAUAUUCACAUACACAAGCUUCAUCAAACAGUAUUCAAGAAAGAGUCACAACAACUGCUGAUCAAUAUGAUUCAACAAUGACCAAAAAGGCAGCAGCAGCAACUGUUUUGAAACAAAGCAAGCAGGACGCAGAGGAAAAUACAGCUCUAAUUCUAAGCUCUAAGUCAUCGGCAAUGUUUGCUGGAGGGAAGAUUCAGACUGUCAAAAGUUAUCCUAUCAUUCCUUAUAAUUAUAUAGAGCAAAAGGAUCACGAAGUUUUCUCAAUCUUCAAUGGACAGAACAAACCAUCAGUUUUAGCUAACAGGAAGGA
rnacentral:lncRNA from 1 species